UAAAAGACAAAGAAGAGCCUUGGAACUUUCUGAAGAUCAAAGUGUUUAUUGUUCUCAGUGCAUUAUUCCUUUGAUGUUUGUAAACAAAUACACAAAAACAAAUGUAAUAAAUGUAAUAAGUGAAAAAACAAAACAAAUGAAAGUUUAAGAAACGGAAUGAAAAAGGUCAAAAUCUAGGUAGAACAUCCACCGGUCAGUGUUGUAGGGUUGUCACUGACACCGAGUGUGCAGAGGUAUUAUGGGAUGUAAUGGAGGAGUGCACACAGGGAAGUUCAGGAGUCUUUUUCUCUGUAUAUUCUUUUACCUCAGCUCUGUCACAAAGUAUUUUCUGCCCCGCUGCAGCUCCUAAUUGAUCGAGGUCAAUCUCAGCUUUGCCCUCCAGGGGCAGAUGACGUCAUGUGAUACUGAUGUUUGGCCCCAGAUGUUGUUUUAGCUGCCUUAUGGCCCUCUGCGGUUCACUCAAAUGUGGACACAAUCAGGACUGGAAACGUUGGGCCACUCAUUACUUUCAGAACGCAGAGGUUGUCUUUGCAGGCUGGUGGUGUGAGUGUCAUGGUAAGGUGUCCUGUGCUCAGCCGGCUCUACAGUAAACAUAGAGGAGGUUCUGAGAAGACAAUGAUGCAAUAAUAAGGCGGGGAAAGAUCCCACCAUGCAGCCGUCAAUCAAAACAAAGUUCUAUCAUCUUCCAAUUCCUGAUUUUCAGGUUUCAGAUCUAGAACAUGUGUCUAAACAGCUGGAAUCUCUUGCUUUUUUCUUCAUGGGACUGUUUUUGUUGUUUUCGGGACGUCGUUCCUCCUCGGAGGAGCAUCUUGCUCCUUCACGCUGAUGCAGGGAACAAUGUCGAUGCUGUCAAGCACCGGUCUCUGCAGGCUUUAUUGGCAUUCAUUUCUGCAGGGUAGGACAGCAGUCUCCCUGGGGGGGGCUGCUAAAUCAACCUGAAGACCAGAGCAUUUAACCCUUUGACGGCCUCUCCAGCUCCUCCCCCUUCUCUAAGCUUGUCCUUAAGACAUUUCCUAAUAAACAGCGGGUCAGCACCUGCAACGGCAGGUGAUUUAUUUGGCCAUGAUCACCUCAACGAGCAGGAGGGGGCUGAAAGAGGAGGCCCCCACUUUGAAGCACUCCCCUGUUUUGCUUCUCAUCUGACAGUUUCUUUAUUCCCCCACUAAAAAUGAGUAGAAGCAUUUGUCUUGACGAGCUGCGACCCCCCCAGAGGACUGCUGGGGAGCGUCCCAGGUGUGGCGCAUAGGCCUGACCCCACACCUUCCUCCCCCCCAGGAGGCCAGCGAGCAGCAACAGCAAGGAUCAGAGGAGGUUUCCCUGCAUCUGUCCCACAGAACGAGCUGAUCAGACGAGGUUCUGUGCAGGAUGUUGUUCAAGGACCUAACUAGUGAAGAAUUACUGAGUAACAGGAAAUUAAAAAAUUCCUGCAAUGCCGUUUCACCCCUCCAAGUCAUUCUUCUGCAGUCUGACCUGACCUCUGCCUGAACUGCAGCCGUUGGGGGCUCUUUGUCUUUCCUCCUGCUUUCUAUGUUAGGAAGCACCUUCAUCAGCGAUGCCUCUGCACCUUCAUCAUCUGUCACUCUGUGGUUGCUGCUUUCUGCAUGGUGAGCGUCCACUUCACCCUUUGCUGCAGGACAACUUUACUCAGAAGAACCAGGCAGCUCCCAGAGGUUCAGGAAAGGUCUGGGAACCGGUCCGCUUUGGUCUGGAUUCUGGAUUCUUUUCUCAGACGUUUGCUUUGCUCUUUUUGCACAAAAGCAGUUUGUUUUUUUCUUGUUGACUGUCUGCAUCGCACACAGGUAAAUGGUCCACAUUCCCCCAACAAUUACAUUUCAUUUAACUUUCGUCUCUCAGGAGCCCAUCAUUUCCCAGGAAUGGACCAACAUCUUACGCUUCCUAUCCCUGGAGGCGUGAGAAAGAGCUGAGGCCACAAAUCCUUCAACACCAAAUGGGAUGAAAAUGAUGUAAAGACGAAAAUCUGAGGAAAAAGAUCCAGAACCUCUGUAAAGAACUCUAUGAGGAAGACUGCGUAGAGGUCUACAGGAACUUUGGGAGCAGCAGACAGACGCAGACGGCUGUGACACACAGGCGUGACGGAAAACAUUUCAGACCAACUUCCAUCAGAGCAUCAAACAUGAAGACGGAGGAGGAAGUUUCAGAGUCAGGAUGGCUGCAGUUCUGAUGAAGAAACCGGCGGCGACCUGAUGUUCCAGGGAGCUGCUCCGCCCACCGCGUUGCAGCCGGAUCACGGGGUUCUGCAUGGCUCCUCUUCAGAUCCCAACAGACCAAGCUAACAGGCACACCGCGGUUUUAAUAAAGUUAAUUUGUUCUGAGCGCCAUUGAACAGCAGAGGGGAGGAGUUAAUGUUUCAUCCACCUGACCUGAAAAGCGCCCGGAGUGAAACAGCAACCCCAGAAUAGAACGGCGUCAUGACAGCUGCCGUCAAUCUUUAAUUUCACCUUUGAUUCUCAUUUAGGAAAAAUCUCCUUCUCUGUUUCAUGUUUUGGGUUGAAGUUCUGCUGGAACUUUUAUUGAUUUGACAUUCCACAAACAUGUCAAAUAAAUAGAAGCUGCUUUUUUUCUAAACUUAUUUUCAAAAGAAUCACUUUUGGUUAACUGUUUGUCUUCUUAUUCCUUUCUAUUUUUUUAUUGUCUCUGGAAUUGAAUAAUCAAAGUAUAAAAAAGUUUUCUUUAUUCUAUCUGAUUGGAUCCAUGUGACUAAAAAACACAGUUUGUACCUGAGCUCACCUGUUUGCCGUGUGUGAUGACACACCCUCUGACCUUUGUAAAUCUGUUCUAAAUAAAUAAUAAAAUAAUGAUUGCAGUUUUA